UACGAAGGGGGCUAGCGUUGCUCGGAAUGACUGGGCGUAAAGGGCGCGUAGGCGGUUCAUACAGUCAGAUGUGAAAUUCCUGGGCUCAACCUGGGGGCUGCAUUUGAUACGUGUGGACUAGAGUGGGGAAGAGGGUCGUGGAAUUCCCAGUGUAGAGGUGAAAUUCGUAGAUAUUGGGAAGAACACCGGUGGCGAAGGCGACGACCUGGUCCUUGACUGACGCUGAGGCGCGAAAGCGUGGGGAGCAAACAGG
rnacentral:rRNA from 1 species